AUUGAACGCUGGCGGCAGGCCUAACACAUGCAAGUCGAGCGGAGCGGCGGACGGGUGAGUAAUGCCUAGGAAUCUGCCUGGUAGUGGGGGAUAACGUCCGGAAACGGGCGCUAAUACCGCAUACUAUCAGAUGAGCCUAGGUUGGAUUAGCUAGCUGGUGGGGUAAAGGCCUACAAAGGCGACGAACCGUAGCUGGUCUGAGAGGAGGAGAAGUCACACGGGAACGGAGACACGGUCCAGACCCCUACGGUAGGGAGCAGUGGGGAAUAUUGGACAAUGGGCUAAAGCCUGAUCCAGCCAUGCCGCGUGUGUGAAGAAGGGCUUCGGAUUGUAAAGCUCUUUAAGUUGGGAGGCGUUACCAACAGAAUAAGCACCGGCUAACUUCGUGCCAGCAGCCGCGGUAAUUC
rnacentral:rRNA from 1 species